rnacentral:rRNA from 1 species
UACAGAGGGGGCAAGCGUUGUUCGGAAUUACUGGGCGUAAAGCGCGUGUAGGCGGCCCGGUAAGUCCGCUGUGAAAGUCGGGGGCUCAACCCUCGGAUGCCGGUGGAUACUGUCGGGCUCGAGUACGGAAGAGGCGAGUGGAAUUCCUGGUGUAGCGGUGAAAUGCGCAGAUAUCAGGAGGAACACCAAUUGCGAAGGCAGCUCGCUGGGACGUAACUGACGCUGAGACGCGAAAGCGUGGGGAGCAAACAGG